rnacentral:lncRNA from 1 species
GUGUGUCUUCUCUCCCUCCCUUCUCUCACGCUUUUCUCUUCUUCUCUUCUCUCCUUCCCUUCUCUCGCACUCUUCUCUCCUUCCCUUCUCUCCCUCCCUUCUCUCCUUCUCUUCUCUCCUUCCCUUCUCUCCCUCUCUUCUCUCCCUCUCUUCUCUCCCUCCCUUCUCUCCCUCCCUUCUCUCCUUCUCUUCUCUCCCUCUCCUCUUCUCUCCCUCCCUUCUCUCCUUCCCUUCUCUCCUUCUCUUCUCUCCCUCUCUCUUCUCUCCCUCCCUUCUCUCCUUCUCUUCUCUCCCUCCCUUCGCUCCCUCCCUUCUCUCCCUCCCUUCUCUCCUUCUCUCCUUCUCUUCUCUCCCUCCCUUCUCUCCCUCCCUUCUCUCCUUCUCUUCUCUCCCUCUCUCUUCUCUCCCUCCCUUCUCUCCUUCUCUUCUCUCCCUCCCUUCUCUCCCUCCCUUCUCUCCCUCCCUUCUCUCCUUCUCUCCUUCCCUUCUCUCCCUCCCUUCUCUCCUUCUCUUCUCUCCCUCCCUUCUCUCCCUCCCUUCUCUCCCUCCCUUCUCUCCUUCUCUCCUUCUCUUCUCUCCCUCCCUUCUCUCCCUCCCUUCUCUCCUUCUCUUCUCUCCCUCCCUUCUCUCCCUCCCUUCUCUCCCUCCCUUCUCUCCUUCUCUUCUCUCCCUCUCUCUUCUCUCCCUCCCUUCUCUCCUUCUCUCCUUCUCUUCUCUCCCUCCCUUCUCUCCUCCCUUCUCUCCUUCUCUUCUCUCCCUCCCUUCUCUCCCUCCCUUCUCUCCCUCCCUUCUCUCCUUCUCUUCUCUCCCUCUCUUCUCUCCCUCCCUUCUCUCCUUCUCUCCUUCUCUUCUCUCCCUCCCUUCUCUCCCUCCCUUCUCUCCUUCUCUUCUCUCCCUCCUUCUCUCCCUCCCUUCUCUCCUUCUCUUCUCUCCUCUCCUUCUCUCCUCCCUUCUCUCCCUCCCUUCUCUCCUCUCCCUUCUCUUCCUCCAUUCUCUCCUCCCUUCUCUCCUUCCUUCUCCUCCCUUCUCUCCCUCCCUUCUCUCCUCUCUUCUCCCCUCCUCUCUCCCUCUCUUCUCUCCCUCCCUUCUCUCCUUCUCUCCUUCUCUUCUCUCCCUCCCUUCUCUCCCUCUCUUCUCAGCCUCCUGGUGGGUCCUAAACAACAACUAAAUGACAUCACGCCAGGACGACUGAGGACCGCUAUCGAUCAGAAACAUAGUUUGUAG